UGAGGAAUAUUGGUCAAUGGGCGAGAGCCUGAACCAGCCAAGUCGCGUGAAGGAAGAAGGUUCUAUGGAUUGUAAACUUCUUUUGUAAGGGAAUAAAAAGAGUUACGUGUAACUUAUUGUAUGUACUUUACGAAUAAGGAUCGGCUAACUCCGUGCCAGCAGCCGCGGUAAUACGGAGGAUCCAAGCGUUAUCCGGAUUUAUUGGGUUUAAAGGGUGCGUAGGCGGGCCCUUAAGUCAGUGGUGAAAGUUUGCAGCUUAACUGUAAAAUUGCCAUUGAAACUGAGGGUCUUGAGUGUAAAUAAGGUAGGCGGAAUGUGUUGUGUAGCGGUGAAAUGCUUAGAUAUAACACAGAACACCAAUUGCGAAGGCAGCUUACUGGGAUACAACUGACGCUGAGGCACGAAAGCGUGGGGAUCAAACA
rnacentral:rRNA from 2 species